AGAGUUUGAUUAUGGCUCAGGAUGAACGCUGGCGGCGUGCCUAAUACAUGCAAGUCGAACGCAUUACUCGGUAGUGAGUGGCGAACGGGUGAGUAACACGUAGGUAACUUACCUCUAAGACGAGGAUAACGACUGGAAACGGUCGCUAAAACUGGAUAGGAUCAUUUGAGGCAUCUCGAAUGAUUUAAAGGGGCUUUCAAGCCACACUUAGAGAAAGGCCUGCGGCGCAUUAGCUAGUUGGUGGGGUAGAGGCCUACCAAGGCGAUGAUGCGUAGCCGGACUGAGAGGUCGAACGGCCACAUUGGGACUGAGACACGGCCCAAACUCCUACGGGAGGCAGCAGUAGGGAAUCUUCCGCAAUGGACGAAGUCUGACGGAGCAACGCCGCGUGAGUGAAGAAGGUUUUUUCCGGAUCGUAAAACUCUGUUGUCAGAGAAGAACAAGUUGGAGAGUAACUGCUCCAGCCUUGACGGUAUCUGACCAGAAAGCCACGGCUAACUACGUGCCAGCAGCAGC
rnacentral:rRNA from 1 species